GGUCCUGCCUGCCCUGUGACCCCUGGUUCAACGGCCGCGGUAUUUUGACCGUGCAAAGGUAGCGCAAUCACUUGUCUCUUAAAUGAGGACCUGUAUGAAUGGCACAACGAGGGCUUAACUGUCUCCUUUCCCCGGUCAAUGAAAUUGAUCUUCCCGUGCAGAAGCGGGAAUCCUAACAUAAGACGAGAAGACCCUAUGGAGCUUUAGACAUCAGAACAGACCAUGUAAGCUACCUCCAUGAAAUAGGUAAUAACUAUUGAAUCUCUGUUCCCCUGUCUUCGGUUGGGGCGACUACGGGGAAUAAAAAAACCCCCACGUGGACCAGGAGCACAUUACUCCUACAACCAUGAGCCACAGCUCUAAUGCACAAAACAUUUGACCAUUAGAUCCGGCAAAGCCGAUCAACGGACCAAGUUACCCUAGGGAUAACAGCGCAAUCCCCUUUAAGAGUUCAUAUCGACAAGGGGGUUUACGACCUCGAUGUUGGAUCAAGACAUCCUAAUGGUGCAGCCGCUAUUAAGGGUUCGUUUGUUCAACGAUUAAAGUCUU
rnacentral:rRNA from 1 species